UACGUAGGUGGCAAGCGUUGUCCGGAUUUAUUGGGUUUAAAGGGUGCGUAGGCGGCUUUGUAAGUCAGUGGUGAAAUACUCCAGCUUAACUGGAGGGGUGCCAUUGAUACUGCGGAGCUUGAGUACAGAUGAGGUAGGCGGAAUGUGACAAGUAGCGGUGAAAUGCAUAGAUAUGUCACAGAACACCAAUUGCGAAGGCAGCUUACUAUGGUAUAAUUGACGCUGAGGCACGAAAGCGUGGGGAUCAAACAGG
rnacentral:rRNA from 1 species